rnacentral:misc_RNA from 1 species
GUGAAUCAUCGAAUUUUUGAACGCAACUUGCACUUUCUGGAAUCCCGGAAAGUAUGCCUUUUUGAGGGUCGGUUAAAUAAAAAUCGGUGUUGUUGCUGUUUUUCUUGUUGACGCGACGGAAUUGAGUUGUCUUACCUUCGGUUAAGUACCUUAAAUUUUUGCAUGAUUUUCGACGGUAUUUAAAUUUCUUCCGUACGUUUGAGAUAUCGAAUAUUUUAUUAGUUUCGGCCAUCCUGUUGUUUCAAACUUAUAAUUUUUCAUUAAAUGACCUAAAAU